rnacentral:tRNA from 4 species
GUCAGUGUACUCUUAAUCGGUAAAGCGGCGCUCGUCAGGCCAUAACCUGACGGGGGUUUAUGCGGGUUCAACCCCCGCCACUGACC